UUGAACUGAAGAGUUUGAUCCUGGCUCAGAUUGAACGCUGGCGGCAUGCCUUACACAUGCAAGUCGAACGGCAGCACGGGUGCUUGCACCUGGUGGCGAGUGGCGAACGGGUGAGUAAUACAUCGGAACAUGUCCUGUAGUGGGGGAUAGCCCGGCGAAAGCCGGAUU
rnacentral:rRNA from 1 species